GACGAACGCUGGCGGCGUGCUUAACACAUGCAAGUCGAACGGUGAAGCCUUUCGGGGUGGAUCAGUGGCGAACGGGUGAGUAACACGUGGGCAACCUGCCCCUGACUUCGGGAUAAGCCCGGGAAACCGGGUCUAAUACCGGAUAUGAUCACGUCCCGCAUGGGGUGUGGUGGAAAGUUUUUCGGUCAGGGAUGGGCUCACGGCCUAUCAGCUUGUUGGGUGGGGUGAUGGCCUACCAAGGCGACGACGGGUAGCCGGCCUGAGAGGGCGACCGGCCACACUGGGACUGAGACACGGCCCAGACUCCUACGGGAGGCAGCAGUGGGGAAUAUUGCGCAAUGGGCGAAAGCCUGACGCAGCGACGCCGCGUGAGGGAUGAAGGCCUUCGGUUGU
rnacentral:rRNA from 1 species